AGAGUUUGAUCCUGGCUCAGGACGAACGCUGGCGGCGUGGAUUAGGCAUGCAAGUCGAACGCGAAAGUGAUACUUCGGUGUCACGAUUAGAGUGGCGGACGGGUGAGUAACGCGUAGGUAAUCUACCUUUAAGAGGGGGACAGCCCCGGGAAACCGGGAUUAAUACCGCAUGUGAUCUUUCGAGAUUAAAGGUGGCCUCUGUUUCAAGCUAUCGCUUAGAGAUGAGCCUGCGUCCUAUUAGUUAGUUGGUAAGGUAAGAGCUUACCAAGGCGAUGAUAGGUAGGCGGCUUUGACGAGUGGUCGCCCACACUGGGAUUGAGAUACGGCCCAGACUCCUACGGGAGGCAGCAGUCAAGAAUAGUCUACAAUGGGGGAAACCCUGAUAGUGCGACGCCGCGUGAACGAAGAAGCAUUUCGGUGUGUAAAGUUCUUUUCUGGAAGAGCAAUGGUAUUAUGGUUAAGAGCUAUAUUACAGAGAUAUUAUUCCAGGAAUAAGCCACGGCUAACUCCGUGCCAGCAGCCGCGGUAACACGGGGGUGCAAGCGUUGUCCGGAAUUACUAGGCGUAAAGGGCAAGUAGGCGGAUGUAUAAGUCAGUUGUUAAAGUUGUCGGCUCAACCGGCAUAAGGCAAUUGAUACUGUAUAUCUAGAGUAAGGAGAGGGAAGACGGAAUUCCUGGUGUAGCGGUGGAAUGCGCAGAUAUCAGGAAGAACACCAUUGGCGAAGGCGGUCUUCUGUACCAUUACUGACGCUGAAUUGCGAAGGUGUGGGUAUCGAACAGGAUUAGAUACCCUGGUAGUCCACACAGUAAACGAUAUGCACUAGGUGUUGGGGGAGAUAAUCUUUCAGUGCCGCAGCUAACGCGUUAAGUGCAUCGCCUGGGGAGUACGAUCGCAAGGUUAAAACUCAAAGGAAUUGACGGGGGCCCGCACAAGCGGUGGAGCAUGUGGUCUAAUUCGAUGCAACGCGAAGAACCUUACCUGGGCUUGACAUCCCUCAGAGAAUGCAGAGAUGCGUUUGUGCCCUUUCGGGGGAAUGAGGAGACAGGUGCUGCAUGGCUGUCGUCAGCUCGUGUCGUGAGAUGUUGGGUUAGGUCCCGCAACGAGCGCAACCCCUAUUUCUAGUUGCCAUCACGUAAAGGUGGGGACUCUAGAGAGACUGCCAGUGUAAUAAACUGGAGGAAGGUGGGGACGACGUCAAGUCAUCAUGGUCCUUAUGUCCAGGGCUACACACGUGCUACAAUGGUCAGUACAGAGGGCGGCGAUAUAGUGAUAUGGAGCCAAUCUCAGAAAGCUGGUCUCAGUUCGGAUUGGAGUCUGCAGCUCGACUCCAUGAAGUUGGAAUCGCUAGUAAUCGCGUGUCAGCGUAACGCGGUGAAUACGUUCCCGGGCCUUGUACACACCGCCCGCC
rnacentral:rRNA from 1 species